ACCUGGCUGGCUUAGUUGGUAGAGCAUGUGAUUCUUGAUCCUGGGGUAGUAGGUUCAAGCCCCAUGUUGGGUG
rnacentral:tRNA from 1 species